rnacentral:rRNA from 1 species
UACGGGGGGGGCAAGCGUUGUUCGGAAUUACUGGGCGUAAAGGGUGCGUAGGCGGUUCGCUAAGUUGGAUGUGAAAACUCUGGGCUUAACCCAGAGCCUGCAUUCAAAACUGACGGGCUAGAGUUCUGGAGGGGGUAGCGGAAUUCCUGGUGUAGCGGUGAAAUGCGUAGAUAUCAGGAGGAACACCGGUGGCGAAGGCGGAUCUCUGGGCCUGUCCUGACGCUGAGGCGCGAAAGCUAGGGGAGCGAACAGG